rnacentral:lncRNA from 1 species
UCCUUAAAUAAUAUAUCAAAUUCAAUAUAUACAGAAAUAAAUAACAUUAGAUACACAUAAAAACCAGAAGGUACAUAUUGUCAAGAAAAAACAAAGGUAUCUUUGGCAGUUUAUGCCCUCCAACUGAAUGAUAUACAAUGGUUGCUCACGGUGCUCACGAUCCUUUUUUUAUGUUUUUCUUUUUCUCAGCCCUUGAAGAGCGGAUUUUCUCCAUCCCUGAUCAUGUUCCCUCACACAUGCACACGAAUACAGACGGAGAUUUUCCAACUUUAACAAAUUCAUCCGCAGCCACCACCUCCUCCACCACCGCCGCAGCCACCACCGCCGUCGCCACCACCGCCGCAGCCACCACCGCCGCCGCCCCAACCACCACCGCCACAACCACCACCAUGCUGACGGGGGUUUUGAUCGCCUUUUUCCAUACCAUCG